GUGCCUCACAGCCUUGAUGUCAUGCAUAUCACAAAGAAUGUGUGCGAGAGUCUGCUUGGUACCCUGCUCAACAUGCCAGAGAGGACCAAAGAUGGGCCGAAAGCAAGGGCAGACUUGAAAUCAAUGGGCAUCAGGGAGGAGCUUCACGCUAAUGAGGCGAAGCAGGACACGGAAAGUCGUCGCAAAGGCAAAAAGGCCAAGAAGACCGGAAAUGACUUCCCUCCCGCGUGCUUCACUCUAAGUCAGGAGAUCGAUCAGUUUUUCACCUGCCUCGUAGGAGUAAAACUUCCUUACGGUUACACGGGGAAGAUAAGUAGAUACCUAGACUCAGCGAAGCAGAAGUCCAGCGGGAUGAAGUCUCACGACUGUCACGUGCUGAUGACGCAGAUACUUCCAGUUGCAAUCCGUGGGAUCAUGGACGCGCACGUCCGUGAAACGCUAUUUGGCCUAUGCAACUUUUUCGACGUCAUCUCUCGGAAGUCGGUUGGCGUGAGGCAACUCAGAAGGCUACAGGAAGAGAUCGUGGUGAUACUAUGCGAGCUUGAGAUGUACUUCCCGCCCGCAUUCUUCGACGUUAUGGUGCAUCUGCUGGUCCAUAUCGUGGAGGAUAUCAUCCAACUC
rnacentral:rRNA from 1 species